GGCCACCUUCGGGGGGCUAAACAUCAGGCGGACCAGUUACAGGAUCCGCCUCAGCUAGACGGAAGACAGAAA
rfam:Celeribacter baekdonensis B30 contig18, whole genome shotgun sequence.